ACAGCAAAGAAAAGCAGAGGAGCCCAACCCAAGAAAAGAGCAGGGCGCAGGGCACAACUUUAUUUCACUGCCAAGAUGCAUUUAGGUAUCGUUUCACAUGUAGUUCAUCCUGUGGAGCAGCACGGAGAGCCUGCUGAAAGCUGGGAGCAUCCCCAGGGUACAUGGACAGCCACGACAGAAGCAGCGCUGCUGAAAUCCCAGAGCGGGGCUUAUCCCAUAGAAGAGGGUACGGGCAUUUCUGCACAGGGGGAAGGCGCCCAAGGGAAAAACUUCAGGUCUGGGGCACUUGGAUGCCCAGCGCUGCAGCCGUCCCCAUCCAUCCCUGGGCACCACCUCCCAGGGCCCACGGGACGCAGCACUGCCCUAGCAGGGCAUUCCCACUGCACACGCAGUCGAUUCACUUCUCGGCUCAAAACUGCUCUCCCCAUGAGAAGAAAACAGGGCUUUUCAGCAGUUCCUUCUCUCCUCCGCUUCCUGUUGCCGGGACGCAGGUGCCACGCUCUGAUGUCACCGAGAUGCAGCACAGGCGUCACCGUGAGGACAGAGAACUUCCCCUGGCGCUGCCCAGGCCGCCGCACCACGGCGUUCGUCCCGCUGACCGGCAGCACCGGCCCUGGCUGGCCGGGGAAAGGGCCAGGCGGGAAGUUGCAGCCAAGCUGUGAACAAAGCCGUUGAAAUGGAGCCGCCUUCACCAGCGGCAUCCCGGGCUUCCGACCCGCAGGAGCCCGACUCGCGGGCGGGUUCAGCUUCUCCUGACCACGCGCGAGGUGACACGGGAACACCCUGGGAUGCUGCCACCGGACCCCUCGCAGAAGACGGCGCCUGUCAAGGUUUGCCUGAUGAAUCCCGGGCCGCCAUCAUCCCCCGCUAUUUCUCAAAGGAGGUCUCUGCCAAGAGCAACCAGUUUGCAGCCUCCCUGUUCAUCAAGAAACUCUGGAAGAUCGUCGGCAGCCAUCGCUUCCGCUCAGUCUGGUGGGGCGACAGCGGGAACUGGGUCGUGAUCGCGGAGAGACUCUUCAGAAGGGAAGUGCUGGGGAGGAGGGGACCCCUGAGGCUCUUUGAAACCGACUCCAUGAGAGGCUUCCUUCUCCAGCUUAACCUCCACGGCUUCUGCAAAAUGGAAGCGGAUUCUCCCGUAUCUGUCUCCACUGAGGAGCUGCGAGCAGCAGCAGCGGCAGGUUCUGAUCUGGGCAAGCUGCUCUUCUACUACAGCCCCUUUGUCAGGAGGGAUUACCCCAACCUCCUCAGGUUGUGCGCGCAAAGUGCUGCGGAAAGAGAGCGAGCCCCAGCUGCACCCCCGCGGGGCCCCAGGGCGAGGGAAGAGCACCCGAGGAGACGACGACCUGAUGCCCGGCUGGCGGUAGGAGCGGAGGAGGCAGCGAACACCACGCACACACCUGCAAGCCCCGGCUCCGCACCGACCGAGCCGCGGGCUGACACAGCCGCCCACGCGGGCAGUGCCGCUCCCUCCCCACCAAAGCGGCGCCGCGGCCACAGCCCCGCUGGCAGCCGGGAGGCGGCUCCCGCUCCACCGCGGCUUCUCCACACGCUGUCGCACCUCCUGCCCCGGACAGUCCCCUCGCGCCAGCCGUGGCGCUCCCCGCCUUUCCACCUGGGCAGACAGAUCCAGCUGCUGCGCAGGGCCCCGGGGCUGGCCUGCCUCCGUCCCGCGCUCCCCGGUUUCUCACGGCCGUACCGGUAGCAGUUUUUGCCGUGCCCGGGCCAGGGCCGCCGCGUGGCCAAGCUCCAACCCACCGCCGCUGGCCAACCUGCGCCUGCGGGCCAAAGAGCGCAGCUGCCGGCGAUGGCGCCGGGCCCCAGCGGGGGCUGCACCAGGAAGAGCAGAGACCUUGGGGAGCAGGCUCACAGUCGCCGUCUCGACGCCCGGGGCGGGGGGUUGCCUUCGGGGACAUGAAGGGUUUGGCUCCAGCCCGCGAACGCCAAAGGCCCCAGGCGCCAGCCCCGCACUCAGCAAAACCCAGCAAAAGGCCAAGCUGGGGCUGAUCCAGGACCUGCACCGGCACCCAGGGCCACUCAAACCAACCCAACCCCUCAUGGCUCUUGGUGAGUCCGUGCCCCUUCCUCCCCCAGCUCCCCCGGUCGCAGCGGGGCUGCAGGGAGCAGACUCGGCCUUCUCCUGCCCG